CGGGGGGGUAAGCGUUGUUCGGAAUUACUGGGCGUAAAGGGCUCGUAGGCGGCCAACUAAGUCAGACGUGAAAUCCCUCAGCUUAACUGGGGAACUGCGUCUGAUACUGGAUGGCUUGGAUUUGGGAGAGGGAUGCGGAAUUCCAGGUGUAGCGGUGAAAUGCGUAGAUAUCUGGAGGAACACCGGUGGCGAAGGCGGCAUCCUGGACCAACAUUGACGCUGAGGAGCGAAAGCCAGGGGAGCAAACGGGAUUAGAUACCCCGGUAGUCCUGGCCCUAAACGAUGAAUGCUAGGUGUGGCGGGUAUCGAUCCCUGCCGUGCCGAAGCUAACGCAUUAAGCAUUCCGCCUGGGGAGUACGGUCGCAAGGCUG
rnacentral:rRNA from 1 species